CCAGGGCUGGGGAAAUGCAGGACGGCGAAUUCUGGGCCCUGAACUCCUGGGAAGCCCUGGGGCGCCGCCCUCCCCACCUCCGGGCCCGAAGACGCGCUCUGGAGGAAGGCCCGCCCCUUUCCAUCGGAACUUUGGGAAGGCCUGGUCCUCUCGGUCCAGUCCAACCUCAGGUCUUGCUUCAGCCGGCGUGGUUUACUGUACACAAACCCCACUUGUUUCCUUCUUUUUAUAGUAGUCUUCGAAGCUCAAACUAGUUCCAGGGCGUGUGGGCUCCUGGUUUACUUUCAGUUUAGGAGAUUCGGCCGUUCACACCCGUUUUCCUCUCCUGCUCCGUCCCCUCCCCCGGGCCCGCUUUCCCCUCCGUCUUAGUUACUCGGAGCUAGCAAACUCGCUGUCUUGAUUUGAUUCCUUAAUAUUUAAAAAUCGCUGGUGAAGCGCUAAUGACUUGAACUCCUUACCCCACGCCCGGCGGUAUAAGCCAUAAAUAAAAUAACAGAACAGCCUGCCCAGCGCCGUGCGCUCACGGCCCGCGCAUGCAUGGUGCGCGGCAGAGGCACCCAAACGCCGGUUUGUAAAGGCAGAAGUGUGGCUUAGCAGGGGGAGACGCUAGGAAAAACCAGAAUGAUUGAUAAAAACGUGCUGAGUCUUGUUCCAGGAAGCCUGCGCCUAAGGACGGGUACUAUCGUCAGAAAGGAUGCUAGCCUAGUACAAUUAAUCCGCAUACCCACAGAGGCCGAGUUAGGACUGUGGUGCUGGCCAGUUAACUGCUCCCCUCCGGACUACUGCGAGACCCCAGGCUCCCCUCUGGAUCUCUGAAGAUUUCGGGAGGAGAACACAUUUCUGCUUUGGUCAAGAAUUCGAGCUCUCCAACGUGCGUGAAUACAAAGCACAUUGAUGAGUGGAGGAAAAUGCAAAAGCUGAAGCGUGUUAUUUGGUGGUGCUAAGGGGGAGACACCCACGGGCCGUGUGGCCCUUACUCCCGUGUCCCAGCCAGCACCUCUUCCAAGACGCCCAGAGACACUGAGGAGCCCAAGGGAAUUAGCUUCGGUGGGCACUGCAAGCCGUCCUGAAGGAGCACUCCUAAGGAUGGCAAUCCAGUGCCGGGGCCCCAGGGGGAGAACUUCCCCACGCGGCUGCCUUCGUCUCUCGGUCAUUCCUCCUCAAUCGCCUUUGUCCCUGUUUUCCGGAGCAUCGUUAACUUUUCACCUUUUCACGGGCUCAAAGAGAAGCAACGUGAGAACCACGGCAGCAGUUCCCUUCCUCCAGCAGACAGGUACAGCGGGACCACUGUGUGCGCGGUGCAGCCAUGUGCAACUUCCUAAUCUGUCUCUUAAACCCACCCUACGCGAGGGGCCGUGGGUACUUAAAACUGCAACUAUGCCAGCGUCUAUGUGAUUGUAAAUUUAGUUCAAGAAAGAGAAGGCAGCACUGAAACGCGAAAACGAAUUCCUUUUUUCAGUAUGUUGGAAAUGGAACUUUGUUUUGAAUGUUUUCAUGAAGGAUUUUUGAGGGAGACGCUUGAAGGGUCACUUUGUUUAUAAAUAUAUUCGUGCACGCUAAAAGCAAUCUUUUUUUAAGAAAAAAAAAUCUUGUUCACAUGUAGUCUUAGAGCAAAUAUAAUAUACAUAAGUCUCUUAAUGGCGUGCAUUUCCUUUCUUCCGAAAAUGAACUGAACCAGCCGUUGAUUGAUGUAGAAAAAAAAUAAUAAUGUGACUGGUGGUUGAUUUGGCCACCUUCCUCACGAAUCCGAUGAAAGUUAAAGAGGAACCAGUUUGCGCUUCAGGGAUGAACGGAACUAGCCGCACACACACAGCCACAGGUCGUUUGUAGGCUGAACGCAGAGAUGCAAGGUAACGACCGAGUUACUCUAUAAACAGGAGAAAGGAAGGAGCUACGGCGCGCCCAUCAGAGGCCUCCUGUCCGCGCUCAACUCUGGGUUAAUGAUUGGGUCGCAGAAACACUGUUGGUGCUGAUUUCAAGGGACCAACGAUAGCCUUUCUGAUCUCUGCCUCACUUUUAAUUACCUUCUGCUGUGGACAGCGCGAUUUCUAAGAGUGUGUCUCCGCGAGGUAGGCGACUCUUCAACCCGCAGCAGGCGCCUCACUCUUCGGGGUUAGCUUCGGCACGGGAGACCCGGUUGUAGCGAAGGCCCAGCGGGCGGACUCUGGCAGAGCGCGGCGGGGAGGAGCGCGUGGAUCGAUCGCGGGGAGGCGGAGGGCGGCCGGCCGGCGCGCGUCGGCCAAUAGGCGUGCACACCGCCUGACGACCAUCCAAUCAGAGGGCACGGAGCUCGGAGGCCCGAGCGGAUAAUACUAGGGAGGGGCGCGGCGGCGGCUGGAGACUGCGGCGAGUGGCACUGCGCUGCACGCAGCCGCUCCCGCCCGCCCGCCUGCCCUAGGAGCCGGUCAUCUGAGCUAGGCCCGGCACCUUCCCGGCCCGGCUUGGGUCAGAGGAAGCCGAAAGUGACCUCAGAAGCACGCGAGGCUGCAGAGGACCAGUUUCACCUUUGAAGAGCUCGGGAUGUGUGUGGGGCUAGGUCACUGAGAACUUAAGUCGCCUACUCCCCGCCCUUCUCACCCCUUAAGUCCCCUGUACAGCUGCCCGCCCCCAAUUUCGUGACCGGAGUGGCGAACUGGGUUUCCGUUUGCCUUUGCUGCUAGCAGCCUGACAGCCAGAUCCCAAAGCUGGAUAUCCUUUGACGCGGCUGCUCGCCGGGGCUGCAAAGUCUUGACUGCGGUCCUAGAUCGCGAGCCGGAGCCAGGCAUUGCGCACUAUGGCCGACCGACAGGCAGGCCCGGCCGCUGGAGACUGGGAGAUCGACGUGGAGAGCCUGGAGCUGGAGGAGGACGGCUGCGGGGGGCCUCCGUCCACGCCGCCCGGACCCAGCCCGCCGCCGGCCGACGGCGAGGACGACGAAGAGGAAGACGACGCGGAGGAAGACGCGGAGGAAGAGGGCUAUGGCGAGGAGGCGGGCACGCCGCAGGAGGUGCCGGGCCGGCCGGAGUCGCAGGGAAGACAGCUGCCCAGGCCUGCGCCGGCGCCGCCGGCCUUGCCCGCCGCAGCCGGGGCCUCGGAGCGCGCCGCGAACGCGGGGGGCGUCGCGGAGCCGCGCAAGCUGAGCCGCACGCCCAAGUGCGCGCGCUGCCGCAACCACGGCGUGGUGUCGUGCCUCAAGGGCCACAAGCGCUUCUGCCGCUGGCGCGACUGCCAGUGCGCCAACUGCCUGCUGGUGGUGGAGCGGCAGCGUGUCAUGGCCGCCCAGGUGGCGCUCCGGAGGCAGCAGGCCACCGAGGACAAAAAGGGGCUUUCUGGGAAACAGAAUAAUUUCGAGCGCAAGGCCGUGUACCAGAGGCAAGUCAGGGCGCCCAGCUUGUUGGCCAAAAGCAUUUUGGAAGUUCUCCUUGGAUUAUUCUACAACUGUAGCAAUGUGUACAUAAUGAGCCAUCUUUAGAAAAUAAGUGACAUCAGAUCUAGUUGCUGAAACCUGCAGAUGUUUAUCCCAGCUCCUUGAUUCUUACAACUUUUACGAAAGUGCAAGCAAUCGGAUUGUCUGUGUGUGAGAAGAAAAGUUCUAUGACUUUAAAACAGAAAUCUUGGAGUGAACAUCUUUAACAGAAAGGAGGCAUAGAAAAUAGUUCCUCAGAGCCUCUUUACUGGAAACCAAGCACAUACUUAAAUAACAAAAUUAAUAUUGAAGUACACGAAAAGUCUUCCUCAAUCUUAAGGGCCGAGUGACACUGAGGGCCCUGCCAGUGAGUAUCUGAAGGAAGGGGAGAAAGAAGAGGAAGAGGAGGAAGUGGAGGAGAUCGCCCUCCUAGACCCAAGAGAGGAAGCAGCCAGGCCCCUGCAGGCCCAGGAAGACCUCCUUCCCACAGCAGGCAGGCCUUUGGAGGGACAUCUCCGUCCCUGCCAUUGGGUGGAUUCCCCCAUGGAGGAGGCCCAGGGCAACACUGGCAAUGAAGAACCUGGAUCAAGUUGUGUCCUGCUGUCUGGGCCCAGUAAUGUUGAGGGUGAGGCCACCCAGUGAAGGAGACCAGCAGCCAGGGGAAGGGAAGGAAAAAGAAGAGAAGCAGAUCAGAUCUCCUCUUCCUGGGAACAAACCAGCUGGAACCCUGGAGACCAGGAAGACCUCCUUCCCAUGCAGGUGCCUCUGGCCUUUGGAAGGGAAACCUGCAGCCUUGCUACUCCAUGGACAGCCAGAGAAAGGAGGCCCAGUGUUGUCCCGGAAGUGGCCACCCCAGUGACUAUGAGGGGCCCAGAAUAAGUCGUCAGCACCUUCCUGAGCCCACAGAGACUGAAGAACCGAAGGGAGAUGGCAGAGCAAGAGGAGAAAACCAGCCCCUCUCCCUUUGAAGAAAAACCGUCUAGACUGUUGGCUGCCCAGGGAGACUGCGCUCCCUCCCUGGCAUAGCAGGCCUGGCUGGGCCUAUCCAGGAAAGCCUCCAGGUCUGCAGUGCAGUGCCUGCUGGUCCUGUGGCCACACAGCCUCACUGCAGGGACCCUGCCUCAGGCACAGCCCCUUCUGCAGCUUGGCAGUGCUGCCAAAGCCAGCUGCAGGCUGUCUCUCGCUGCCCUAAGAGGGAAUGCCAGGAGCCCCUCUCUCAAGGCCUAUGGACAGAAGGCCAGACCAUGCAGGCAGCAAACUUCACAGAUGGUCCAUCUGACAAUAGCACUGUGCCACCUGCCUCUGCUGGUCUUCAGUUGAGCCUGGGGCCCACAGGGAUGCCUCUUACUCUGUCACUUCUGACACCUGCAGGACUCCUCUCCUGUGUCACUCAUGUUCUGACCACAGGGAAAUAAGAGAUAUGAUCCUCUGUCCUGUAAAACUGUACAGGUCUUGGCAAGAUUGAAAUUAGAGCACUGAGUAUUAACAGAUAUCUGGCAUAGGAUGAAAACUGAGGUACACAUCAGGUGAAACUUCUGGGAGGAUAAGACUGAAGAACUCCUAAUUACCCAAUUGUCCGUUUUAGUUUAAACAAGAGCCCCUUUGCUUUGUGAAAAUUAGAGACACCUGUAGUUACACAGCCGGAAUCAAGGACUAUCAAAGCUCAUGCAGCCAGGCAGAGUUACAGAAGGAGAGGGGGAUAGCGUGAAAGAGUGAGAAAGCAAUAUUCCAUCCACUGGUUCAUUCUCCAAAUGGCCACAGUAGCCAGGGCUAGGCCAUGCCAAAGUCAGGAGCCUGGAACUCCAUCGGAGUCUCCCAUCCGGGGGGCAGGGGCAAAGUGGACAGUGAGAGAGACAGACAGAGAGAAAGAUCUUCCUUUUGCCGUUGGUUCACCCUCCAAUGGCCACUGCGGUUGGCGGGCUGUGGCCGGCACACCGCUGUGGCCGGCGCACCGCACUGAUCCAAAGGCAGCAGCCAGGAAAAUCCUGGAUCCUUUACUAUCAGCAAAUGAAGCAGCCAAGAAGGUGGGCCUGCUCAGUGUGGCAUCUCCUCAAGGUAGGAAUCCUUUCUGAAGCAGUCCUGACCCAGACCUGUAAUAUCCACUCCAACAUUCUCAAUACUUGGGGAAUGAGUAUUUAUACAUGGUUCAUACAUGCACUAAACUAGGAACAUUUGCACCCUUCAUCUAAAAUUUUUAUCUGCUGGUUCUACCCCAUAGAAGACACAGAACAAAUCUUUGCUUCACAAGAGUGUCCCUUCUAUUGGACAGGCCUCUGAACUUACUGGCUUCUACAGUGAAUUUUCACUUGUAGUCAUUUCUGUAUGCUGUUCUCGGUUUUUGUCCUAUUCCCAUGGGUGAUCAAGAGCUUGACCAUGUGGCACACGCCAUCUGAACAGGGUACUUGGGAUGUGCCCAAGUCAUUGCAGGCUGCCUUGGGACCUGUGUUCAUCUGCCUCUUCUAACAUGAGCCCAGAUUGCUUUAAAUGUGUUAGAUUUUUAAAGUUGCUAUGCCUUUCACAUGGUUCACGUAGUUUGUGGUCCAGCAUUGGCCAAGGUCUCUUUCACACAGGGUCAGAUCAACCCAAGCCUCUUGUUUCAGGAAAAUUGUCUUCACUUCAUUCACUUUAAAAAUGGGUGUGUUGACUAGGCCUGAAUACUGGGUCCUCUGUGAAAGGUUUUAAUGUGAAAUUUGUAUAAUCAAGAGGAAACAGUGUCAUUGAUCAUUUCAUUUGUAAGUCUGUCUUGAGAAAUAAUAAAUACGGUAUUGAUUUUCAAGAAGUGUAUCAUUCAUAUGGAAGGCAAAGAUCAAGAAUUGGCAAUUGAUGAAUAGUAUGAGGAAGUGACAAAUUAUGUUCAGCAGACCAAAAGAGCUUGUCAAAGCAAAAUUAGGGCAGUGGUGUUGGAAGACAUAAAAUAAGGCUUUGUGGAGAUGUUGGGACGUGCCCUGGUACCUAAACAUUGAUAUAGAUGAGACUAGUGAAGACUGUUGGGGUGAAUUUUGUUGGUGAGAGAAAUGGUGUGAGUAAAAACCCAGUGGAAGAAAUGUCUGCUGUUGUAAAUGUGGUAGAGGUGGUCUCGGUUUUAGGGUGAAAGGUAUCUUUGAGGAGUACAGAAGGAUAGGUGGGGGCAGUUAUAGGUGGUCUUGCUAUCUAGGCAGAGGAAUUUAGCCAUGAGAUUGUAGGCCUUGGGGAAAGUAUGAAAUGACAGGAGCACUGCUGAAUGAAGUCUAACCUGGAAGUGGUCUUCAGGGUAGUUAAUAGGGGUGGGAGAUGGAGGCAGGGAGUACAGCUUGAAGGUAACGAGGAGGUAAUGAGUGACAGGACUGAAGGAGCAUUUUGAAGGAGAAAAGACAGGGUUUAUUUGACUGCAUGGAAGUGAGGAAGAAGGAUUAGGUAAAUAUGAUUUCUAGUUUCACACCUGGUUGAUGUGGAUUGUGGAUCCAUAGAGCUGAAGGAGGAAAUGCUCUGGAUAAAUAAUUGUGAUUUUUCUUUGGGCCAUAUGGGGUGCUGUUAUUGAUAUGGGGUCAACCUCCCAAUAAUGUGGCCCUAUAAAGCACAUGUAGUUAGGAGAUGCGUAAACUGGUGAUGAGAAAGAAGAGUAUCAGCUUGAUAAUAACUUGAGAGUGUGCUUGUCUCCUCUUCCUGUAAUGCCCUGGUGUUGAGCCUUGAGUGAGCAGGCAGGUGUGUGCCUGGCACCAGUGCUUCAGAGUCAGAUCUGUUUUCAAGCUUCAGCACUGCCACUUACUAGCUAUGUGACCUGGGCAAUCAGUGUAACCUCCCUGAGCCUCAGUGUAAUCAUCUGUAAAGUGACCAAUAAAUUAGCCUCCCAAAGAGACUAGGAUCAAAUAAAACCAUGUACUGUCAUUCACCAGGAUACAGAUAAUGGCACAUAGUACUCCACACGGCACAGAUCCUGUCACAGUUGUUGUCUCGGCUACCUGGCUGCUCACAGUGACUGCUGUCUACUCAUCAAUGGGUUUGGGACUCUGAGGACUUGGGGCUUCAGGACUGAAGUUGUUCAGAGUGUGGGGUCUCACUGAUAAACUUUUCAUCACUCUGGAGCUGUUGAGCAGAGAUAAAAGCAUUCACCCUUCCUGAGAGCCUGGUUGGAGAAAGACACCCUCUCAGCAGGGAUCUAGAGUGUUUUCUUUAAGAAGCCCCCCGGAGUGCCUGUGUGCCUCCCUGACCUGCAUGAAAGGUCUUCCUUUGUCCAGCUGCCAUAACACAGUCAUUACCAGCUGUCCCUUCACUCAGCAACUGUCUCUGAACUCUGACAGUGAUGACCUAGUGCACAGCACUAGGACAUUUCUACAGACACCCCAGAUCCAGCACAAACAGGGAUUUGAAAUAGGCCACCAUGAAAGGGGCUCAGGAUGCAUUUCAGAAGCUUGUAGGUCACUUGACAUUGGCCGUGAUAAUACUGCAUUGGAAAAAAGAGGCCAGCUGUUUCACAGGCUGCUGUGUUAAAAAAUUGUGCAUAUGAACAAGCUGGGUUUGGAUAAGCCUGUGUAUGGCAGUGUGAGAGAGGGCAGCCACGCCCAUUCUGAUGCAAAAAACUCUGGGAAACAGGAAUGGAGACUACUGGCAGCUUUUGAAGGAGCCAGAAUCCUUAGCCUUGGGCUUGGGAAGCUGUUUACACUUAGUGAAAUUGUUUUUCCUGAGUGAAGUACGAGGUGUCAACUCUUGAUGGUGGAGCACCCCAGGACUAUGAGGUGUGAAGGACGUCCAUCAUUUGUCAGCCUUCAUGUCAACUUCUUAGGGAAUGAUGUGACCUGGUCGAUGUUCUGUCAGGUCCCCCAGUUCAUUGAGUGCAAGUUCUGCUUUCUACUCUUCAGGACAAAUAACUCAGGCCGUAAGGCACUAGGCUUCAGGCUGGCACCCAGAAAAUCCCAACCGCUACAGAAAACACUGACAUUCCCAUUUCUUGUUCAGUGAGUACAGUAGUCCUUUUGUGGAUUUAGUUUUGAUUGUGGGUAGCAUUUUGAAAAGUAGAUUUGCAUCAAUAACUAUUUUAUAAAUUUUUUUAUUUUUUUUAAGAUUUUAUUUAUUUGAGAGGUAGAGUUACAGUGAGAGGGAGAAACAGAGAGAAAGGUCUUCCGUCUGUUGGUUCACUCCCCAGAGGCCUCAACGGUCAGAGCUACACCGAUCCAAAGCCAGGAGCGGGGUGCUGCUUCUUGGUCUUCCACGCAGGCUGGGGGCCCAGGGACUUGGGCUGUCUUCUACUGCUUUCCCAGGCCACAGCAGAGAGCUGGAUUGGAAGAGGAGCAGCCAGAACUAGAACCGGCGCCCAUUGGGAUGCCAGCACCGCAGACAGAGGAUUAACCUAUUGCGCCACAACGCCGGCCCCAUAUAAAUUUUUUUUUCUGAAAGAAUUUAUUAAGCAAGCCCAAAGAGGGAAGGGAGCUGGGGGAGGGUGUGGAAGGAAAGAAGGUAAGAAUCAGGGACCUGAACAUGUGCUUUUCAGCUGCCCUGGGCUGCCUGGAGCAACUCGCUCCUGUGGGAAGGGAAGCUCUGCAGAUUGCAGUGAGGAUUGGAGAGAUUUAUGCCUUGCACACUGAAUACAUAUCCAUGACUCUCCACGGCACAAUUUAGAAAAGGUGGUUAUGUGUCUGACAUGAAGGAAUAUUUUAUAUGAAAUUGCUGAAAGAUCUCUGGGCACUAAGCAAUAAUCACCUUAAUGCUUGAGAAAGUGUUCCAAUUUGUUUCCCAGGGGCUUCUUGGCAGUUGGGAUUUGCAUGCUGUUCAGCAUCCAUUCUUGGGCAUUCUCCAUGCCACCACACUGAGCACAGGGACUCCCCUUGAAGGAAAAUGCACUGCAGUCUAGGGACAAGUCUCAGUAGCUUUCAAAAUGUGCAAAGACUUGGAAUCUGCAAUUCUACUUCUUGAGAUAUUUCAAAGAAAAUAAAUCAGAAAGAGGAUGUCAUUGAAAAGAUGCCUGUUCACAGGGAAAGGCAAGACACUGUGGCAAAAAAUGAUCUAAAUGAAAGAUCUCAUGAGUGAGAUCCCAGUGGAAAGAAGGGGCCAUCAAAGAAGGAGGUACCUUUCUCUGAAGGGAGGAGAGAACUUCCACUUUGACUAUGGCCUUGUCUAAAUAAGGUUGGAGUUUGUGAACUCAAAAGGGUUCCAUAGCCUUGGCAGCACAUGACAAGAGCCUUGGCUGAUUACUGAUGUCAUACAUAAGAGUGUCAGUUUUUAAAUCAACAACAUGAGUCACUGUGCACUUUCUCCCGAUGUAGGAUCUCUGUCCUUAAUGUGUUGUACUAUGCGAAUUAACGGUAAAACUAGUACUCAAACAGUACUUUAUACUUUGUUUGUCUGUGUGGGUGCAAUCUGUUGAAAUCUUUACUCUGUGUAGAGUUGAUCUUCUGUAUAUAAAGAUAAUUAAAAAUGAACCUUAAUUAAGAAUGGGAUGGGAGAGGGAGUGGGAGAUGGGAUGGUUUGAGGGUGGGAGGGUGGUUAUGGGGGGAAAACUGCUAGAAUCCAAAAAUUGUACUUUUGAAAUUUGUAUUUAUUAAAUAAAAGUUUUUAAAAAAAAAGAUGCCUGUUCAGAGCAUUUUUAUCUUACUCUGGUAUCUUCCAGAAUAUAAUGUCUUGGAAAUGUAUGUACAGACACAUUUUUACAAAUAAAAGUGGGAAACAACUUAAAUGUGCCAAAGUUGGGGAUUUGGUGUUUUAAAAACCACUAUAGAAUGUUAUGGUUUACCAAGGCAGAAAAAUAUUUAUCUAGUUUGACUUUCAAAAAAAUAAAUAAAUAAAUAUUCAGAGUCACAGAGGCAGUGGGAGGGAAUAGAGCGAGAUCUUCCACCUUAUGGUUCACUCUGCAGAUGCCUGCAAUGGCUAGGACUGGGCCAGGCCAAAGCCAGGAGCUUCAUCUAGGUCUCCCACAUGGGUGGCAGGAGCCCAGUUGCUUGGGCCAUCUUCUGCUGCUUUUCCCAGGCUGUAAGCAGGGAGCUAGAUCAAAAGUGGAGUAGCUGGGAUUUGAACCAGUGCCCAUGUGGGAUGCUCGUGUGGCAGGCAGUGGUACCUGUUAUGCCACAAUGCUGCCUCUAGCAGAAAAAUAUAUUUUUGGUGAAUGAAUGAAUACAAAAAAUUUGUAGCAAAUGGUUUACUUUGGUAUAAAAAUAGUGGAAUUCAUACAGUUUUUGUCAUAAAUGUAUUUUCUAUGAAAUUUCUGAAGGCCACUCAUAUGCAUGGAUUUUAAUUUUUUUGCCAAAGUGAACAUCUUCUAAUUCUACUUUCCCUGAACUUUUUGAAGUACUGUUGUGUAUUAGAAAGGAUUCUUGAAGGAUGUAUACAAAUAUGAAAAAGUUGGUUAUCCUUAGGAGGUUAGAAUAUGAGUGACUUUCUAAAACAUUAGCCCUCCUGUAUUUGCUGUAAUAAACAUGGAUUAUAUGUAUUGCAAAAGGAGUCUUGCCCUUAUCUUCUGUCGUCCUUGGUGCAUCUGGGUUACUGCCCUGAACCCUGAGACUCUAUUUAUUUGACCUGCAUGGAGGGUCCAGCAGAAUCAAUUCUGUCAUGGCCCUGUGGUGUAAGACACAGCCUCCUGUGCUAAAUGGAACUGCCUGAAGUAGGGUUGGACUUCAAAGAACACGUUAGUCAGUGCCUCUUAAAUUCUGUUUAUUGAUGUCUUUCAUCUAAUGAUCUUGGGCUAUUGUUUUGGAUUUAUUGGGAGAAUGUGGACUACUUCACCAUUGCUGCAAAUGACACUUUCUUACCUGCAACCAAGGGUACCAGUUGGCUGUCUUCUUCUCUGUUGGUCUCUUUCUCUGUCUUUUAAAGAUUUAUUUAUUUAUUUGAAAGUCAGAGUUAAACAGAGAAAGAGAGGCAGAGAGGUGGCACAGAAAGUUAAUUUUGACAUUGUAUGGGUGAUAUCUAAAAUCAGCCUCUUUGAAAUUUUGCGAGUACACUGUAGAUCUGUGGAACAGUUGUGUGCAGGGGAGAUAAGAUUUACUGGGGCUCAUUUUACAUUGAUAAGUCUAUGUCUCACUGUAGAGUUAAGAUUGCAACUCAGCCUUUUCAAAGUCGUCCACCAUGAACAGACCUAACAUGAAAAGGGAAGAGAUACUACCUCUCCCAGGGCUACCAGUUUUUUAGUCUGUUUUUUAAAGGAGAACCUUCUUUUCUCUUGGAAUAAAUAGUUAAAGGAGUUUAAGCAGAAAUCUAAGUAUUUUAUCUUUACCUAAUCCCAUGAAUAUUUGAAAUAACUGGACAGAGUGCUCAGCUUAGAAAGAGAUCGUUUAGUUGACCUUAUAGUUUUAUAGAUGAGAAAACAGAGAUGAGAAGGAUUAAGGGGCUUUUCAAGGUCCCAGAGAGAGGUGCUGAUUAGACCCUGGAGCUCUCGUGUGCUGCUCUUCCCCUACUGGCUGGUGUCAUCUGAGAACAGUUUUCCAUCCACUUGGCUAUCAUCCCAUCUCAUCCUCAUCCCAGGUCAGCUAUUCUUGGGUGGAAAGUAGUUAAGAAAUCUUUCCACGUGGAUUCAGCAGAAAGUGCAAGAAGAGUCACUCUAUUUUCAGAUGGCAAAACAAGCAUGAAUCUAAAUUCCUGUUUCUUUCAUUAGAUUCAUGCCUAUGUUGAAUCCUGAAUGGAUGGUUCAAAAUGGAAACUCACUACAUAUGGCCAGGAAAGUGUUUGGUGUUCUCCAGAUCCUUUGGAAAUCACCAAGUGAGAAGACAUAAGGGCUACAAAAAAGUGACUCACCUACCCUCUGAAAAGUGGGAAGGUGAAUCAGCAUACCUUUGUGUGUGUGUGUGUGUAUGAGAGAGAGAGAGAGACAGAGACAGAGACAGAGACAGAGAUUGAUUGAGAGAGUAAGAGACAUGUCCAAAUGGCUGCAAAGGCCAGGGCUGGGCCAGGCUGAAGCCAGGAGCCAGGAACUUCCUCCAGUUGUGCAGGGGCCCAUGCAGUUGGGCUGUCUUUUGCUGCUUUCCCAGGCUCAUUAGCAAGGAAUUGGCUUGGAAGUGGAGCAGCUAGAACUCAAAUCAGAGCCUACAUGAGAUGUUAGUGUUGCAGGCAGUGCCUUACCCCAUGAUGCCACAAUGCUGGCUGCAGGAUUCUUUUUUAGCUGAAUUAUUCCCUUACACCCUGUCUUGAUAUCAGGAUUGGUUAAAAUUCUCAGCUGUGUCAUUUACUAAUUAUGUGGCAUUAGGAAAAUUCUCUGACACCUGUAAGCCUCAGUUUCUUUAAACAGAAGGGAAACAUCUACUUUGAAAGGUUGUGAGACAAACUCAUAUAAGCCACCUUGCAUAUAACCUGGAUAAAUAAAUAUGAACUAUUGCUUUUGCUGUUAUUGACAGUUCUAGAGUAAGAUGAUGACAUACGUUAUGCAAAAAGCUGUCAAAUAAUUUUUAAAACACUGGAAAUCACUGAGGUGGUUUAUUACCCAACAGUGUACAUCUUUGAGAGAUUUUGAGGUAUUGAGCCUUCUCUCAGUUCUAGUUAGAGUAGAGAGAGUAUUUUAUAAGAUUUUGCUAAGAAUUCUGUGUGGUGUUACAAUGCCCAUUUUAUGAUGAGGAAGCUGAAACUUUUAGGAGUUUACUACCAGAUAGCACAUUGGCUAGCAAAGCAUAUAUCAUCAAUUUUAAUUUGAUAAUACCUGGGCUGGUGGUAUAGUGUAGUGGGUAAAGUCUCCACCUGUGAUGCUGGCAUCCUUUGUGGGCUCCUGUUCGAGACCUGGUUGCUCCACUUCCAAUCCAGCUCUCUGCUAAUGCUCCUGGGAAAGUAGUGGAGGAUGGCCCAAGUGCUUGGGCUCAUGUACUCAUAUUUGAGAUCUGAAAGAAGUCCCUGGCUUCUGGCUUUGGUCUGGCCCAGCCCCAGCCAUUGUGGAUAUUUGGGGAAUGAACCAGAGGGUAGAAGAUUUCUCUCUCUCUCUCUCUCUCUCUCUCUCUCUCUCUCUCUCUUUGUCUAUAUAACUCUGACUUUCAAAUAAAUAAAUAAAUCUUAAAAAAUUUGAUAGUACCCUAAGUACCUCUUAUGCCACCUGCUUAAAUAUCUCUGUGAUACCAAAAACAGAAGCCCCAAUAAUCCCCCUUGAUAUUUAAAAUAUUUAUUUUGGUGGACAUCAAGAAAUCAUGAAGUAGAUUCAUUUGUUUAAUAGAAUGUAAUUCCAUUGAGUUUUUUAAAAAAAUUUAUUUACUUAUUUAAAAGAAUUACAGAGAGGGAAAGAGAGAGAUCUUCCAUCCACUGGUUCACUACCCAAAUGGCCAAAGUGGCUAGGGCUGAUCUAGGCCAAAGCCAGGAACCAGGAGCUUCUUCUGGGUCUCCCACGUGGGUAUAGGGGCCCAAGGACUUGGGCCAUCCUCUGCUGCCAUCCCAGGAGCACUAGCAGGGAGCUGGUUUGGAAUUAAGGCAGCUGGGACUUAAACUAAUACCCAUAUGAUGAUGCUGGUGCUGUAGAUGGUGGCUUAACCCACUGCGACACAGCGUCAGCCCCUCCACUGAAUUUUUAAAAGCCCCUUCCCCCCCUUUUUGGCAGCAUUAGGAAUCCUUUACAUUGAUUUGAGAGUGUUGAAGAUUCAUAAGUCUUUGGUUUAUGUAUUUUACAGCAUUUACAAGUAAGAUGCAAAUUAUAUGCAAAUGAAUGAGUUACAGAGAAAAUGAGUUACAGAGAAAAUCCAUUAUCAAAAUCUCAUUUUUUGUUAUGAUGCUUUACCAUCAAUGUAAUAGAAUGUGGGAGGGAUUUUUGACAUCAGGAAAGCAUAUUCUAAGUUACCUUUUGGGUUGCAUUCACGGUAAAUAGCUUUGUGAUGACUGUCCUGAGGAGCUCUACUUUCUCUUUUAAUGAUGACCUCACCUCCCUAAUCCACAUUUUACAAAUAACUUUCCUCUUCCCAUCUCUACCUCUUAAGAUUUACGUUUGUUUUCCCCAAAAAUUAGUAUUAUAUAAAAGCCCUGAUUAGUCUUAAAGACAUUUUCAACAUGAGGUUUUCUCCCUUUGGAGAUGGAUUGUUUUUAAAUUUGUUCUGCAUCCUGGUAUUCUUGUUACAUUGUAGGAAACAGCUGUAUUCUCUGUUAGCCAGACAUAAAGAAUUCCUUUGCAAAGGACCAGAGAUAGAGAGAAAGAAAGAAAAAAGGAAAAGACAAGAGAAGAGUGAUGAAGAAUGAGACCAAGAGAGACAGAUGUGGAGGAAAGAUGCAGUGAGAGAGAGGUGGAGAAAGAGACAGAGAAGGAAUGAGAGAGAAGGAAUGAUGGGAAGAGAACUGUAAAGAUGGGGAUAGUGGGGAGUGAGAAAGGAGAGAGAUAUGGAAAUCAGAGAGAGAAGAAAAAAAAAAAAGAGAAAGCAAGACCCCUAACUCCUCGUGAGCCCAGCAGGAAGCUGGCAGGAAAGAAUUUGAAGCCAGAGGGACAUAUUAUCCAGAACCAGGAGUUAAACUUAAUUGUAAGCAGACCCUGCCUACCCCCUUCAGAUGAGUGAUGGGCUUUUGACAUGUGACUUGGCUUGGCAGUCUCCACCCCCUGUCCGGGCUGCCAUAAGGAGAUACGUAAUGUCUAGAGUGAUGGGAAAGUCAUGCCUGCAGAUGGUACACAUGGAGCUGCCUCAUAAAAUGACUCACUGUGAAUCCUCACUGAAAUAUCUGCUGUAAAAAUGAUAAUGGAAAAAGCACAAGAAAGGCUGAAUGGGCUUGAAAGAAAUUUGUUCCAGCUUUUGUAGCUCCCCUUCAAAUUUUGAAAAAGACCCUACUAGAAAAUGCCAGGAAAGUAAUGUAUCUUCUCUCUGCUAGAGCCCUCCUCUGCCACUGACCCCCAACAUCAGUAUGUCAGUGAGCAUGGCAAGGGAGGAAGAGGUAGGGGUGGGAAUUAUUUGUUAAGCAGAAGGGCUGAUGCCAAGGAGAAGGUUCUUUCAGAAGAAAGGGAGUGGCAUUUUGGGGAGUGAGGAGGUGGACUCUCACUGAGCGGGGGAAGUGGUGUUUUGUUUGCCUUUGGGGUAGGAUAUUGCCAUGUGGGGGUGCUUCCUAGAGAGUGAGGUCAAGACCUGGGUAAAGGCGUCAUACAGAAGAGUUAGUCAUACAGACCUCUGUUGCAAGUUGAGGAAGCUUUUAGGUUUAAACAUCAUGGAAUUCUAAAAGUAGCUAUUAUUAGCUCCUUUAAAGUCACUGAGGACCAUACUGCUUCUACAUACGAUCCCAAAUAUAGCUCAGUUUGGCAGACACAGGAUCUUCCAGAAAUUAGAGAUACUAUUUAAUGGCAAAUCUUAUGGCUACCAUCUCUUUUUGCCCCUCCUGGAAGAACUGGGAAUGCUCUAGGUACUAGCUGGAGCAGGGUUAAAGGAUGGAUGGGGCAGAUGUGAUGGCAUCCUAAGUCCCGAGAGUACUUGGAAGCUGGUGGUCAGGGUAAAAUUGGGCUUCAGUACAGUGGAAGAGCCCCGAGUGUGGUACAUCUGCUGUACAAAUGGGGGGGCUUCAUGGUGAUUCAGGAGCAGGGUGGACAUGAACAGUUGCAGGUCAUAAGUGGUCCAGAUAAACAGUGAAGCCAUGAAUGUCUUGCUAAGGUCUGAGUAUGCAGAGAUCUCCAUGCAGUGUCCAGGAUAGAGCAGAGCCCAAUGCCUAGCGUAUGUGGCAUGGCUGGCACAUCUGAUGGCAUGCAGACACUAAGAAUAACUGCACAUUUCAGAGUUGGCUUAGGUAGAGGAUAGGGAAGCUGGUUGGUGGGAUAGGGUGGCAGCAAGGACAUGGUGGUAGGUGUGAGUUUGGGAGUUUGCAAGAAACAGAAUAUAAUUCAGAUGGUUCAUGAGGCGAUGAAAGGAUAUCCUGGAAAGAUGUGUACAGAAUUCAGGGAGCCAAGAAGGGAUGGUAGGUACUCAAGGGCUAGCAGCCACUGGGAGCUGUUGCUACAGUAGGUCUGAGGGAGGAAGCAGAGCAUGGUGUAUCUGCACCCCAGUGAAAGUAGAAGCUGUUGAAGACAGUCUGCCUGGCCAGUGGUGUGAUCUUGGUGCUGGGGAAGGGAUAGCUACUGUUAGACAAAGGACCACAUGAAGCAUGGGGUGGGGAAGAAGUGCCCUGACCUCUUGACUUUCCUUCCCUCCCAUUUUCUCCUGGUGUUCUCCCCUCCCCGCCACCCUCCCCCCUCAAA